rnacentral:lncRNA from 1 species
AGUAUUGCUAGAGAAUUAUACAUUGAAGGCAAGUUGGUUGAUCCUUCCUCUAUAAGGAGAUCUAUGCUCGUAGGUUUGUUGUUUUGGCACAUCUCAGAUGACUAAUUGGGGAUAGAACAUCAGUGGUUGUGAGCUAGAAUACUUAGAUUUCUAGCCUACCACUCUCCAAAUGGCUGACCUAUGUAAGUAGUGAGGUAGAUGAUCAUUUGCGAGUAUGCGACAUGCUCAACGCUGAUGA